ACCACAACGUUUCGACCCCUUAAGGUCUUUGACAAAUAUCUUAAGGGGUCGAAACAUUGUGGUUUGGUUCUUUGAGAAAGACCUUAAGGGGUCGAAACGUUGUGGUUUGGUUC